AGUUGUAUGCUUGAAAAUGAUCUCAAAUUAUAUGUUGUUUAAAAGCAUAAUGCAUGAUAAAAUGAUUAAUUGUAUUACAAAUCUACAAAUAAUUUUUUAAUCCUCUGGAUUGAAAUUUUGUCGUAUUAACAAUAAUUGACAAAAUUUAAAAUUACUUUAAUUAUUCUUGCUUUAUUUUACAUAUACAACCAAAAUGUUAGUUCCCGAUGAUGAAUACAUAUUUAUUCAAAAGCUUGAAAAACAUAUUCAAAGUUGUAAGGUAUUAAGGUCAUAGGUUAAUAGAAAAAUUGACGUAGGAAAUAAUAUUACAAUUAUUGUCAAAUUAUGUUGGCGCCGCUGCGGUCGCCAUCUUGCCAUUACCAUUUGUUGUCAUUUGAUUUGGUUUUUGAGCAAUUUUUCAAUUAAGUAUAGUAUUAUUUUGUUAUUAUUCUUUGUUUGAUGGAUAAUUAUACUGAAGCAUCAUUUAAUUAUGUAUUCUUUUGGAACUAACAACUAAAAUGCCUAUAACAGCAGUUUAUUCUGGAACUGCACAUCUAAAGGACCUAGAGCAACUGUUUCAGGCAAAUUAAAGUUAUCGUCAAGUUAUGGAAGACACUCCAAUGUUACCAUCGAUGAACAUGAAGUCUAGGAAGUCUCGGCUGGAUCCAUCUUGAAUUGCAUUUGAAAACAAAUAUGAAACUUGAGCUGACAACUCUGAAAUUGACAAAAGAAAAACAAAUAGAACAUCAAAAACCGAAGAACAUACUCCUCGAACGAUAGAAAGAGGUCGAACAUCCAAUAAAGCCAUCUCUUAUUCAAUAGGUCGAUAUCGAAAAAGUUUGUUCAGAAAAAUACUAGAUGUCACUGACGCCCAUAUUUUGAAAAUAUCUCGAACGAGCGAAAAAUGAAAUUUUUAAAAGUUAAGAGUUACGUUUUUUGAAAUAUGGACAAGUUUAUAUGAAAACCGUUAAUAAAUAAAAUAACAUUCUGUAGCAUAUAUUGUACGUAAGGAAAAUAAAUUUACCUAACUGACUUUCUUAAUAAAAUUUUCUAUUUUGUAUAUAGGGUGAUUGGAAACUCGAAACUCUUUUUUUAUUUCUGUGUUCAAAUGUAUCAUAUUGUAUUAUCAAGUGCUUUAUAACAUCUAUUAGUUUAAAAAUUAAUUUUUGUUAUAAAAUACAGGGUGUAGGGUAUUUAAAAAUAGAAAGAAAAUUAAAGACCGGAUCUUUCUUCGUCCACCGUGUAUAUAGGAGACUGAUUUCACUGUAAUAUACAAGUUGUUAAUCAU